AGAGUAUGAUAGAGGAAAGCAGAAUUUCUAGUGUAGAGGUGAAAUUCGUAGAUAUUAGAAAGAAUACCAAUUGCGAAGGCAGCUUUCUGGAUCAUUACUGACACUGAGGAACGAAAGCAUGGGUAGCGAAGAGGAUUAGAUACCCUCGUAGUCCAUGCCGUAAACGAUGUGUGUUAGACGUUGGAAAUUUAUUUUCAGUGUCGCAGGGAAACCGAUAAACACACCGCCUGGGGAGUACGACCGCAAGGUUAAAACUCAAAUGAAUUGACGGGGACCCGCACAAGUAGUGGAGCAUGUGGUUUAAUUCGAAGAUACGCGCAGAACCUUACCAACACUUGACAUGUUCGUCGCGACUUUAAGAGAUUAAAGUUUUCGGUUCGGCCGGACGAAACACAGGUGCUGCAUGGCUGUCGUCAGCUCGUGUCGUGAGAUGUUGGGUUAAGUCCCGCAACGAGCGCAACCCUCACUUUUAGUUGCCAUCAUUAAGUUGGGCACUCUGAAAGAACUGCCAGUGAUAAGCUGGAGGAAGGUGGGGAUGACGUCAAGUCCUCAUGGCCCUUACGUGUUGGGCUACACACGUGCUACAAUGGUAUCUACAACAGGAAGCAAAACUGCGAAGUUAAGCAAAUCCCUAAAAGAUACCUCAGUUCGGAUUGCACUCUGCAACUCGAGUGCAUGAAGCUGGAAUUACUAGUAAUCGUGGAUCAGCGUGCCACGGUGAAUGCGUUCCCGGGUCUUGUACACACCGCCCGUCACACCAUGGGAGUUGGUUCUACCUUAAGGCAAGGUUUCAAACCCUUGACCACGGUAUAGUCAGCGACUGGGGUGAAGUCGUAACAAGGU
rnacentral:rRNA from 1 species